GGGUGCUUAGCUCAGUUGGGAGAGCGCUUGCCUUACAAGCAAGUGGUCAGAGGUUCAAGUCCUCUAGCACCCACCA
rnacentral:tRNA from 1 species